rnacentral:tRNA from 1 species
UCCCUGCUAGCUCAACUGGUAAAGACUCUGCCUGCAAUGCAGGAGUUCCUGGUUUGAUUCCUGGGUGGAGAA